AGGGUGCAGGGCGGAUGCCUUGGCACUAGGAGCCGAUGAAGGACGUGAUAAGCUGCGAUAAGCUUCGGGGAGUUGCACGUAAACUUUGAUCCGAAGAUUUCCGAAUGAGGAAACUCACUUAGAGUAAUGUCUAAGUAUCAUUAAGUGAAUACAUAGCUUAAUGAGGGGAACUCAGGGAACUGAAACAUCUAAGUACCUGAAGGAAGAGAAAGAAAUUCGAUUCCGUAAGUAGCGGCGAGCGAACGCGGAUUAGCCCAAACCAAUAAAGUUUUCUUUAUUGGGGUUGCGGACAUAUCAUAACGAAGAGGUAUCGUAAUUGAAGAGGUUUGGAAAGACCCACCACAGAAGGUAAUAGUCCUGUAUGUUAAACGAGAAGACUUCAGAUAUGAUCCAGAGUACCACGGGACACGUGAAACCCUGUGGGAAGCAGGAGGGACCACCCUCCAAGGCUAAAUACUACCUAGUGACCGAUAGCGUAUAGUACCGUGAGGGAAAGGUGAAAAGAACCCCGGGAGGGGAGUGAAAUAGAACCUGAAACCCUGCACUUACAAGCUGUGGAAGCACAUUUCUUGUGUGACCGCGUACUUUUUGUAGAACGGGCCAACGAGUUACGUUAAGUAGCAAGGUUAAGCACUUAAGGUGCGGAGCCGUAGCGAAAGCGAGUUUUAACUGAGCGUUCAGUUACUUGACGUAGACCCGAAACCGGGCGACCUACCCAUGAGCAGGAUGAAGCGAAAGUAAAAUUUCGUGGAGGUCCGAACCCACGAGCGUUGAAAAGCUCGGGGAUGACUUGUGGGUAGCGGUGAAAUUCCAAUCGAGCCCGGAGAUAGCUGGUUCUCCCCGAAAUAGCUUUAGGGCUAGCCUCAAGGUGAGAGAUACGGAGGUAGAGCACUGAAUGUCCUAGGGGGUAUUGCACCUACCGAAGACUAUCAAACUCCGAAUGCCGUCAUCUUAUACUUGGGAGUCAGACUGUGGGUGAUAAGAUUCAUAGUCGAAAGGGCAACAGCCCAGAUCGUCAGCUAAGGUCCCUAAAUGUAAGUUAAGUGGUAAAGGAUGUGGGAUUGCACAGACAACCAGGAUGUUGGCUUAGAAGCAGCCACUCAUUCAAAGAGUGCGUAAUAGCUCACUGGUCGAGUGAUCCUGCGCCGAAGAUUUCCGGGGCUAAAACUUACUACCGAAGCUACGGCAUCAGUAAUGAUGGGUAGGGGAGCUUCCCAUACGGGUUGAAGCAUGACCGUAAGGACAUGUGGACAGUAUGGGAGUGAGAAUGUUGGCAUGAGUAGCGAGAUGUGGGUGAGAAUCCCACAGGCCGUAAACCCAAGGUUUCCAGGGGAAGGUUCGUCCGCCCUGGGUUAGUCGGGACCUAAGCUGAGGCCGAAAGGCGUAGGUGAUGGACAACAGGUUGAUAUUCCUGUACUACCGAUAACCGUUUGAGAGAAGGGAUGACACAGUAGGAUAAGCUAAGCACACUGUUGGUUAUGUGUGCCCAAGCAUUGAGGCAGUCAAAGUAGGCAAAUCCGCUUUGAUAAUGCUGGGAUGUGAUGGGGAGCGAAAUUUAGUAGCGAAGUAGCUGAUUUCACACUGUCAAGAAAAGUCUCUAUCGAGGUUAAAGGUACCCGUACCGCAAACCGACACAGGUGGGUGAGGAGAGUAUCCUAAGGCCAGCGAGAGAACUGUUGUUAAGGAACUCGGCAAAAUGACCCCGUAACUUAGGGAUAAGGGGUGCCACCAUCAGGUGGCCGCAGAGAAUAGGCCCAAGCGACUGUUUACCAAAAACAUAGGUUUCUGCUAAGUCGCAAGACGAUGUAUAGGAGCUGACGCCUGCCCGGUGCUGGAAGGUUAAGGGGAUCUGUUAGAGCAAUCGAAGCAGUGAACUUAAGCCCCAGUAAACGGCGGCCGUAACUAUAACGGUCCUAAGGUAGCGAAAUUCCUUGUCGGGUAAGUUCCGACCCGCACGAAAGGCGUAACGAUUUGGGCACUGUCUCAACAACAGACUCGGUGAAAUUGUAAUUCCGGUGAAGAUGCCGGAUACCUGCGACAGGACGGAAAGACCCCAUGGAGCUUUACUGUAGCUUGACAUUGGGUCUUGGUACUACAUGUACAGGAUAGGUGGGAGGCUUUGAAACCAGGACGCCAGUUUUGGCGGAGCCAUCCUUGGGAUACCACCCUUGUAGUACUGGGACUCUAACCAUAGGCCAUGAAUCUGGUCUUGGGACACUGUCAGGUGGGCAGUUUGACUGGGGCGGUCGCCUCCCAAAAGGUAACGGAGGCGCUCAAAGGUUCUCUCAGUACGGUCGGAAAUCGUACGUAGAGUGUAAAGGCAAAAGAGAGCUUGAUUGCAAGACAUACAGGUCGAGCAAGGAUGAAAAUCGGACUUAGUGAUCCGGUGGUUCUGCGUGGAAGGGCCAUCGCUCAACGGAUAAAAGCUACCCUGGGGAUAACAGGCUUAUCUCCCCCAAGAGUCCACAUCGACGGGGAGGUUUGGCACCUCGAUGUCGGCUCAUCACAUCCUGGGGCUGUAGUAGGUCCCAAGGGUUGGGCUGUUCGCCCAUUAAAGUGGUACGCGAGCUGGGUUCAGAACGUCGUGAGACAGUUCGGUCCCUAUCCGUCGCAGGCGUAGGAAAUUUGAGAAGACCUGUCCUUAGUACGAGAGGACCGGGAUGGACGUACCUCUGGUGUACCAGUUG
rnacentral:rRNA from 1 species